rnacentral:ncRNA from 1 species
CAGAGUAGAGAUUUAUGCGUGAAGUGUCCUUUGAACGGGGAGUUGUCAGAGGAACGAAAGUAUUUACUGCGGUAUAAAUCUCGCAUCCCGCUGU